AGAGUUUGAUCAUGGCUCAGGAUGAACGCUGGCGGUAUGCUUAACACAUGCAAGUCGAACGGAGUAGCAAUACUUAGUGGCGGACGGGUGAGUAACGCGUAAGAAUCUAGCUUCAGGUUCGGGACAACAGUUGGAAACGACUGCUAAUACCGGAUGUGCCUACGGGUGAAAGGCUUGCUGCCUGAAGAAGAGCUUGCGUCCGAUUAGCUAGUUGGUAAGGUAAAGGCUUACCAAGGCAUCGAUCGGUAGCUGGUCUGAGAGGAUGACCAGCCACACUGGGACUGAGACAAGGCCCAGACUCCUACGGGAGGCAGCAGUGGGGAAUUUUCCGCAAUGGGCGAAAGCCUGACGGAGCAAUACCGCGUGAGGGAAGAAGGCUCUUGGGUUGUAAACCUCUUUUCUCAGGGAAUAAAAAAAUGAAGGUACCUGAGGAAUAAGCAUCGGCUAACUCCGUGCCAGCAGCCGCGGUAAUACGGAGGAUGCAAGCGUUAUCCGGAAUGAUUGGGCGUAAAGCGUCCGCAGGUGGUACAACAAGUCUAGUGUCAAAGACCGGGGCUCAACCCCGGAAAGGCGGUGGAAACUGUUGAACUAGAGGGCCGUAGGGGUAGAGGGAAUUCCCAGUGUAGCGGUGAAAUGCGUAGAGAUUGGGAAGAACAUCGGUGGCGAAGGCGCUCUACUGGACGGCAACUGACACUCAGGGACGAAAGCUAGGGGAGCGAAUGGGAUUAGAUACCCCAGUAGUCCUAGCCGUAA
rnacentral:rRNA from 1 species